CACUGGACUGAGACACGGUCCAGACUCCUACGGGAGGCAGCAGUGGGGAAUAUUGCACAAUGGGGGAAACCCUGAUGCAGCCAUGCCGCGUGUGAGAAGAAGGCCUUCGGGUUGUAAAGCACUUUCAGUAGGGAGGAAGGUAGUGUAGUUAACACCUGCACUAUUUGACGUUACCUACAGAAGAAGCACCGGCUAACUCCGUGCCAGCAGCCGCGGUAAUACGGAGGGUGCGAGCGUUAAUCGGAAUUACUGGGCGUAAAGCGCAUGCAGGCGGCCUGUUAAGUCAGAUGUGAAAGCCCGGGGCUUAACCUCGGAAUUGCAUUUGAAACUGGCAGGCUAGAGUCUUGUAGAGGGGGGUAGAAUUUCAGGUGUAGCGGUGAAAUGCGUAGAGAUCUGAAGGAAUACCAGUGGCGAAGGCGGCCCCCUGGACAAAGACUGACGCUCAGAUGCGAAAGCGUGGGGAGCAAACAGGAUUAGAUACCCUGGUAGUCCACGCCGUAAACGAUGUCUACUUGGAGGUUGUGGCCUUGAGCCGUGGCUUUCGGAGCUAACGCGUUAAGUAGACCGCCUGGGGAGUACGGUCGCAAGAUUAAAACUCAAAUGAAUUGACGGGGGCCCGCACAAGCGGUGGAGCAUGUG
rnacentral:rRNA from 2 species